AUUGAACGCUGGCGGCAGGCCUAACACAUGCAAGUCGAGCGGAUGAAGGGAGCUUGCUCCUGGAUUCCGCGGCGGACGGGUGAGUAAUGCCUAGGAAUCUGCCUGGUCGUGGGGGAUAACGUCCGGACACGGGCGCUAAUACAGCAUACGUCCUGAGGGAGAAAGUGGGGGAUCUUCGGACCUCACGCUAUCAGAUGAGCCUAGGUCGGAUUAGCUAGUUGGUGGGGUAAAGGCCUACCAAGGCGACGAUCCGUAACUGGUCUGAGAGGAUGAUCAGUCACACUGGAACUGAGACACGGUCCAGACUCCUACGGGAGGCAGCAGUGGGAAAUAUUGGGCAAUGGGCGAAAGCCUGAUCCAGCCAUGCCGCGUGUGUGAAGAAGGUCUUCGGAUUGUAAAGCACUUUAAGUUGGGAGGAAGGGCAGUAAGUUAAUGCCUUGCUGUUUUGACGUUACCAACAGAAUAAGCACCGGCUAACUUCGUG
rnacentral:rRNA from 1 species